rnacentral:rRNA from 1 species
GACGAACGCUGGCGGCGUGCUUAACACAUGCAAGUCGAACGGAAAGGCCUGCUUUCCCUUGUGGAUUGCGGGUACUCGAGUGGCGAACGGGUGAGUAACACGUGAGUGAUCUGCCCCCAACUUGGGUAUAAGCCUGGGAAACUGGGUCUAAUUCCCGAUAGGACUGCAGGGUGGUGCCUGUGGUGGAAAACGAUUUUCUAGUGGUUGGGGAUGAGCUCGCGGCCUAUCAGCUUGUUGGUGGGGUAAUGGCCUACCAAGGCGGCGACGGGUAGCCGGCCUGGGAGGGUGGACGGCCACAUUGGGACUGAGAUACGGCCCAGACUCCUACGGGAGGCAGCAGUGGGGAAUAUUGCACAAUGGGCGGAAGCCUGAUGCAGCGACGCCGCGUGGGGGAUGACGGCCUUCGGGUUGUAAACUCCUUUCGACCGCGAGGAAGCCACCUGGUUGGAAGGGUGGUGACAGUAGUGGUAGAAGGAGCACCGGCUAACUACGUG